GAGUUUGAUCCUGGCUCAGGAUGAACGCUGGCGGCGUGCCUAACACAUGCAAGUCGAGCGGCAGCGCGAGUAGUUUACUACUUGGCGGCGAGCGGCGAACGGCUGAGUAACGCGUGGGAAUUUGCCCCAAAGUGAGGAAUAACUGCCCGAAAGGGUGGCUAAUGCCGCAUAUGAUCUUCGGAUUAAAGGAUUUAUCCGCUUUGGGAGAAGCCCGCGUCGGAUUAGGUAGUUGGUGAGGUAAUAGCUCACCAAGCCGACGAUCCGUAGCUGGUCUGAGAGGAUGACCAGCCAGACUGGAACUGAGACACGGUCCAGACUCCUACGGGAGGCAGCAGUGAGGAAUCUUCCACAAUGGGCGAAAGCCUGAUGGAGCAACGCCGCGUGCAGGAUGAAGGCCUUCGGGUUGUAAACUGCUUUUAUAAGUGAGGAAUAUGACGGUAGCUUAUGAAUAAGGAUCGGCUAACUACGUGCCAGCAGCCGCGGUCAUACGUAGGAUCCGAGCGUUAUCCGGAGUGACUGGGCGUAAAGAGUUGCGUAGGCGGUUUGUUAAGUGAAUAGUGAAAUCUGGUGGCUCAACCAUACAGGCUAUUAUUCAAACUGGCAAACUCGAGAGUGGUAGAGGUCACUGGAAUUUCUUGUGUAGGAGUGAAAUCCGUAGAUAUAAGAAGGAACACCGAUGGCGUAGGCAGGUGACUGGACCAUUUCUGACGCUAAGGCACGAAAGCGUGGGGAGCGAACCGGAUUAGAUACCCGGGUAGUCCACGCCGUAAACGAUGGAUACUGGCUGUUGGAGGUAUCGACCCCUUCAGUAGCGAAGCUAACGCGUUAAGUAUCCCGCCUGUGGAGUACGGUCGCAAGACUAAAACAUAAAGGAACUGACGGGGACCCGCACAAGCGGUGGAUCGUGUUCUUUAAUUCGAUGCUAAACGAAGAACCUUACCAGGGCUUGAAUUGCAGUCGCUGCCCACAGAGACGUGGGCUUCCCUUCGGGGUGUCUGUGAAGGUGCUGCAUGGUUGUCGUCAGCUCGUGCCGUGAGGUGUCGGCUUAAGUGCCAUAACGAGCGCAACCCCCUUUCCCAGUUGCCAUCGGGUGAUGCCGGGCACUCUGGGGACACUGCCACCGCAAGGUGCGAGGAAGGUGGGGAUGACGUCAAAUCAGCACGGCCCUUACGUCCGGGGCUACACACGUGUUACAAUGGCCGGUACAGAGGGACGGUGCAAUGCAAGUUGCAUCCAAUCUUGAAAUCCGGUCCCAGUUCGGACUGGGGUCUGCAACCCGACCCCACGAAGCUGGAUUCGCUAGUAAUCGCGCAUCAGCCAUGGCGCGGUGAAUACGUUCCCGGGCCUUGUACACACCGCCCGUC
rnacentral:rRNA from 1 species